rnacentral:lncRNA from 1 species
GAGCUUUAUAAAAAGGACAAGAUCUAGACCUCAGACACAUAAGAGCACAAACUUGCAACUCGAGAAGUUCGGCUAAUCAUGAGAGACGAUAUACAAAACUCUUCCCAUUUGUAAUUCCUUCUUCUCGCAUCUCUUUUUUUUCUAUAUUCUUUCUCACGAUUUUUUUUUUCUUUUUCAGGAAUUGGCAUCACCCAGAAAGGAAGCUCGAAUCUACAAACCUUCAGUAAUUUAGAUGGUUGUUUUGAUAUUAAACUUGGCCAUAGUUUCAAGCUUUGUGUCGUUGGCACUGUUACCUGUCACGCUAAUCCAAACUUUGAGUUGCGAGUACAUUUAUCUAUCAUGACGAGUUGAAGCCUUGUGUCAUUGACAUCGGUAUCUCCUACUGAAUCGAAGCUUCGUGUCAUUGGCACCAAUCAACUAGACAGAACCAAAAGCUUCGUUCCAUUGGCACUGAGGCCUCCAAAAUCUUUUCCCUUAUGCUGCAGAAUCUGUCUGUGAUAGUCAUCUUUAGGCAUCUGUGAAGAAAACUAUCAUGUGUUGUCGUAGGAACACCAGAAACACAAGCCGUAUGAUCCUCUUGAAUACUUCAACAUAUCAAAAUUUUGGGGCAAAAUUCCUUCUAUAGCUUCUCAGGUAUUAUUUUGAAAUUUUGUUUCAAAUGCUGUCAUGCUCAAAUUUACAGCUUUGCCCGCCUUCACCAGAAGACCCAUAUCUUGGCGUAGCAAUGUCGAAAUCACGAGUGGUUUAUGGCUCAGAAACUAGACUUCCAGAGCUGCAAAUUAUAUAACGAUCACAAUCACAUUGACCCUAUCUCUUCCCAGAUAUAUUCUAGAAGUUAGGCGAUGAGUUUCGACAUGCGAGCUCUUUUAGCUUUGUGCGCUCUCACCGAAUUGAAAUAUGUUCAACAAUAUCUUUUUGUUUUUUACAGGCGAAAAGGUACAUGAAGACUUCGUAUCUAUUGAGCUUUGGCGUAGACGACUUAUUGUAACUUAGCGAAUAAAUUCAUGGAGCAUCCUCUUCUUAUAGUUGGCUGGAGAUGUACAUGGCAUUCCAAGUCCCAGUUUUUGUGAAGAAGUAAAAGGAGCACUCUCUUUUUGAAAUUUGUCAUAGAAGGAUAGAUGAAGUUGUUAAGUAAUUAGUCGUGUAUAGUAUCCCACGUCGCAAAAUAGAUACCUAUUAUGCCGUAAUUAUUGCAUAUAAAUAGGGUUGUACAACACUUUAUUUAAGUUAUAAUAUUUUUCUCCCGUGCUUUCUCAAAUGGUAUCAGGGCAUUAGUGAGAAACUUAUCGCUGUGCAUCAUUCCAGUGACUUCCGGGAAGAAAGACAUCAUCGCCGUGUAAUUUUCUGGUGACUUAGAAGGCUGUCCGCAAACAAAUCACUUUCCGUUGGUGCUGUGCAAAAACCAACACCACCACAAAACUCCUCAGGCGACCAAAUCCAAGUCAACCCCACCGGAAAACUCACA